AACGAACGCUGGCGGCAUGCCUAACACAUGCAAGUCGAACGAGACCUUCGGGUCUAGUGGCGCACGGGUGCGUAACGCGUGGGAACCUGCCCUUAGGUUCGGAAUAACUCCCCGAAAGGGGUGCUAAUACCGGAUAAUGUCUUCGGACCAAAGAUUUAUCGCCUUUGGAUGGGCCCGCGUUGGAUUAGCUAGUUGGUAGGGUAAAAGCCUACCAAGGCGACGAUCCAUAGCUGGUCUGAGAGGAUGAUCAGCCACGCUGGGACUGAGACACGGACCAGUCUCCUACGGGAGGCAGCAGUGGGGUAUAUUGGACAAGGGGCGAAAGUCUGAUACAGCAACGCCGCGUGAGUGAUGAAGGCCUUAGGGUUGUAAAGCUCUUUUACCCGGGAUGAUAAUGACAGUACCGGGAGAAUAAGCACCGGCUAACUCCGUG
rnacentral:rRNA from 1 species